GGAGAGGUGCCAGAGUGGUCUAUUGGGCUCGCCUGGAAAGCGACGCGGUGGAAACGCCACCAGGGUUCAAAUCCCUGUCUCUCCGCCA
rnacentral:tRNA from 1 species